CACGGGGGGAGCAAGCGUUGUUCGGAAUCACUGGGCGUAAAGGGCGCGUAGGCGGCACCGCAAGUCGACUGUGAAAUCUCCGGGCUUAACCCGGAAAGGUCAGCCGAUACUGCGGGGCUAGAGUGCAGAAGGGGCAACUGGAAUUCUCGGUGUAGCGGUGAAAUGCGUAGAUAUCGAGAGGAACACCUGCGGCGAAGGCGGGUUGCUGGGCUGACACUGACGCUGAUGCGCGAAAGCUAGGGGAGCGAACGGG
rnacentral:rRNA from 1 species